GUUUGUAGACUCGCAGAAGGCAGUAUGUAGUUGAAAUCAAGACGUAAACGUAAACUGAAAUCUGAUGAUUGUACGAGGAAAGCCGAUUUACGUCUAAAUGCAGUUUUACGUCUAAAUGCAGAUUUUCGUCUAAACCUUGAAACUCGUUCGUAAAAUUGCAGAAGACAGUUUGCAGUUAUAAAUAGAAUCAAAACGUAAAUGUAAACUG
rnacentral:lncRNA from 1 species